rnacentral:rRNA from 1 species
GACGAACGCUGGCGGCGUGCUUAACACAUGCAAGUCGAACGAGACGAUUGAAAGCUUGCUUUCGAAAGUCGAGUGGCAAACGGGUGAGUAACGCGUAGACAACCUGCCUUUGAGAUGGGGACAACAGUUCGAAAGGACUGCUAAUACCGAAUGUUGUAUAUUUUCCACAUGGAAGAUAUAUUAAAGAUGGCCUCUAUUUAUAAGCUAUCGCUCAAAGAUGGGUCUGCGUCUGAUUAGCUGGUUGGUGGGGUAACGGCCUACCAAGGCGACGAUAAGUAGCCGGUCUGGGAGGAUGAACGGGCACAUUGGGACUGAGACACGGCCCAGACUCCUACGGGAGGCAGCAGUGGGGAAUCUUCCACAAUGGACGAAAGUCUGAUGGAGCAACGCCGCGUGAGUGAAGAAGGGUUUCGGCUCGUAAAGCUCUGUUGUCGGGGACGAAUGUGCAGUAUUUGAAUAAAGUACUGCAAUGACGGUACCUGACGAGGAAGCCACGGCUAACUACGUGCCAGCCGCCGCAGUAA